GACGAACGCUGGCGGCGUGCCUAAUAAAAGCAAGUAGAACGCUGAAGAGAGGAGCUUGCUCUUCUUGGAUGAGUUGCGAACGGGUGAGUAACGCGUAGGUAACCUGCCUUGUAGCGGGGGAUAACUAUUGGAAACGAUAGCUAAUACCGCAUAACAAUGGAUGACACAUGUCAUUUAUUUGAAAGGGGCAAUUGCUCCACUACAAGAUGGACCUGCGUUGUAUUAGCUAGUAGGUGAGGUAAUGGCUCACCUAGGCGACGAUACAUAGCCGACCUGAGAGGGUGAUGUGCCACACUGGGACUGAGACACGGCCCAGACUCCUACGGGAGGCAGCAGUAGGGAAUCUUCGGCAAUGGGGGCAACCCUGACCGAGCAACGCCGCGUGAGUGAAGAAGGGUUUCGGAUCGUAAAGAUCUGUUGUAAGUCAAGAACGGGUGUGAGAGUGGAAAGUUCACACUGUGACGGUAGCUUACCAGAAAGGGACGGCUAACUACGUG
rnacentral:rRNA from 1 species